AUAUUCCAUUGGAGAAUGGUCUUGACUUUAUUUGGUCCCUCCUUCAGGAGAAAAAAUCCUUAAGAGGACUCUCCAGAAUUAGUAAAUCUGCCAGUGUUUUUGAAUUUCCUCUGUUAAUGUUGCCCUUGCUAAAAUACCAUAGUUUAUAUGUAAAAAUCCCUGGAGACUGUGUACAAUAGCAUGGAAAAUCUGCUUUAAAAGGACCCAUGAAUCUAGUAACCUACUUUAUAGUGCUCAGUGUUGUCAGGCCAGAGACCCAAGUUCCAUUUCAAGUUCCAGAUGGCUUCUCAGGCUGCCAAAGCCUGGGAAUCCUGCAAAGGCUUUGUUUAUUUCUUAGAGUUUGGUAGUACGAGUGCCUCAUUCACUGAAGAGUAAUUCUAGUUGCUGACCAAUGAGUGUCGUUGCCAUGUAUUCUUUUUUUCUCCCAUUGGGAUCUUCAUGGUUUUAACCAGGCACUUCUGUCCCCUGCCAAAGCCUGUUUUACAGGAUGUUAAGACUCUUGAAAUAACUUUGGUGCCUCCAAAAUAUUGACAUUUCAGUGCAAAGAGCAUUUAUAAAUUGGUUUGACUAUCUGAAUGGAUUUAUUUUCAGCCUUAUAAUCUUCAUGUACUAUGUCAGAAUAGUCUGGGUGAGCCACAGAAUCCAGUAUUAGAAUUAUCAGUGUUAGCUGACUGACAUUUCUAACCCAUGAGACUACAGGCUUGGAAUCUCAUUUACACUUGGGCACUUUACACUGGUAAGUGAGAAUCGGGCCCAAAUGCCUGUAUAACAAAAAUUUGAUCAUCUCCCCACACGCUACUUCACACCAGGGGCGUUGGGUUUGAAAGUUUUGGUAAUAGAAGAAAAACAUGUGACAAGAUUUCUGUAGUCUAAAAUAAGUCCCAGGGUCAAAGUUUCUCAACUAUUUCUGGAGGAACUUUUUCAGCUAGUUCAUGUCUUGUCGUAUGAUUUUGCUCACAAAAUAUCUCCAGUUACUGCCCUGGAGUUGGAUUAAUUAGAUGCUGAAUGCAGAUUGCCCCUUGGCGGGGGGUUGGAGCAUUGCCGUCCUCUCUUUCUACAGCACAGAUCACAUAAAUGGCACUCUAAAUAUUUAAUAAAAUUUCUUCUGAUAAUCUGCAAUAAUGGUUAAAUUUUAGAACUCUUAGGAUUCAGGUUUCUCUCUUCGGAUAUUUACAGCUUACCAAAUGUGCAGGCCACGUUGCUUUUUCACAAUCACAUUGCUAGUUGCGUGGUGUUUGUUUUUUUGUGUGUUUAUUUCUUUAAGGCUUUUAUAUCAUCUUUUGAAGUGAGAUUUUAAAUGGUAAUGAUUUUACCCCAUGUAAUGAGUGUACAUUCAUGUCAAUGGCAGGUGUUUGUGCUUUCUAAUUAUUAAAGUUGCUGUAAUUCUUGUACAAUAUUACUUAGUUACUUUUCAGUCAAGUAGAUGGUUCACCAUGCUCUGACCUCUUCCGGUUUUUUUAAUGAAGUUGAGCUUAACUUCUGGAACAAACACAGAAGACGAUAUAGUUUUUAUUUUAGUUAGUUUUUGUCUAUUAUGCCUCUAACAGACACUAUAAUGUCCAAAAAUGGUUUGGUGUGAUUUGCUAGGUAAGCGGGAGUAGAUUUUAAGGGGUUGGGGUUUUUAGGUUUUAUAAUUUGGGAGAGUCUGAGAUGAGAACACAAUCUCUCUCUCAUUUUAUGAGGGGAUAGCGUUAAGUUCUCAUCUUUACAUUUUUUUAAUUGAGAAUAGAAUCUAGGUUUCCUGACUCCCAGUCCUGUGCUUUAACAAGAUCAUCUUUUCCUCUCAAGAAGCUCAGAGUAACUUUCAGCUGCAUCGCUUACGUGGAAUACUGUCUGUCAGGUAUAAUAGAAAACCCUUUUUGUUUUGGAAUUUUUUUUUCCAGUUAUACAGCUUGUGCUCUUCUUUAUCCAGAAAUGACCUCACACCAGCACAUGCCAUUGUAACCAUAAAGUUCUGUGACAGCAAAACAGGAAAUUACAGAGCUUAUGAAGAAGCCCUAUUACUGCUCAUUCAAAAGGGUUCUAAAGCUUCAAAAUCUACAGUCUCUAAAAAGAUCCAUUUCAGCUUCUUGGGAAAGAAAGAAUUGAGCAUCAGAUCUGCAGAGCAGUAACCUGAGCUUCAUCUCAUCCCAGCAUAAAGUACUAUGAAGAAGCUGUUUCUUCCUUAACUAAGCCCUGGUCUACACUAGGAGUUGAGGUCGAAUUUAGCAGCGUUAAAUCGAUUUAACCCUGUACCCAUCCACACGACGAAGCCCUUUUUUCAACUUAAAAGGCUCUUAAAAUCGAUUUCCU